rnacentral:rRNA from 10 species
UAAAGCACCGGAUCCGGUGCUUUAGUGCUGGUAUGAUCGGCACCAUCAGAACUCCGAAGUUAAGCGUGCUUGGGCGAGAGUAGUACUAUGAUGGGUGACCUCCUGGAAAGUCCUCGUGGUGCAUUCC